UUAUAAUAAAUUUUAUUACAUAAGACCACCAAGCUGAGCCAUGGCCAUCCGCUUAUGGUGAGACCAUCCACACGAUAGAAGCACAGCCAAUAUUCUACUCCGCAUUGACUCCAUUCUUUAAUAGAGUUGGGUGCUACAAUAUUCCCCAGAACCUUCUUUUCAAGUUGUAGAAUAACAACGAUUAAUAUAUACAUAUAUGUAUAUUUAUAUAUCUAUGAAUGUUGAUUAUAAUUAUGGGUAUAUAUAUGCCUACCUGCUGCAAUGACAGUCCUAUAAAUGACUUCAAAUUGAAGUUAAUUCGAUCUCGAUUUGACCAUGAACAUCUCUAUGAGAGCACGUCCAUUAA
rnacentral:lncRNA from 1 species